CGAAGGCUUCGGCCUUAGUGGCGCACGGGUGCGUAACGCGUGGGAAUCUACCCUUAGGUACGGAAUAACUCAGGGAAACUUGUGCUAAUACCGUAUAAUGUCUUCGGACCAAAGAUUUAUCGCCUUUGGAUGAGCCCGCGUUGGAUUAGCUUGUUGGUGGGGUAAUGGCCUACCAAGGCGACGAUCCAUAGCUGGUCUGAGAGGAUGAUCAGCCACACUGGGACUGAGACACGGCCCAG
rnacentral:rRNA from 1 species